UUCCUGAUGUUUAGUUGGAAUCUGCUUUCUUGUCAUGUGAAUUCACUGGUCCUGCCCUCUGGAGCAACAGAAAACAAGCUUGCUCCAUCUUCCAUGUGAAAGCCCUUCAGAUAUUUGAAGACAGCUAUCUAUCCCAUGUGCUCCAAGUCUUCUCUUCUCCAGGCUAAACAUGUCCGA